rnacentral:lncRNA from 1 species
AAUCAAAAGCAGAUGGCUAUAAAUAACUCCAUCCGCACCCAAACCCUAACCCUAGCCGCCAGAACCCCUAGUUGGAGAAGACAACCCAGCCACCGGGGAGCUGACCGCCGCCACUCGCCGCCACACCAAAACCCUUUCCAACUGCCAAAAAAAGGUAAAGAAAAUUUGUUUUUGCAUGAAAUUCAAUUUUAAACCCACCCAUGGCCAAAUCGGAGUGAAAGAACCGGCCAAUUGACUGGAAAACACCGACGAAGUCUGGCACCGCCGUCGCGAGAAAUUUCACAAACUGCCUCCGAUGAGGCCCUUCCAGAUUCCCGUUUCAUGUAAUUUUUCCACCGUUUUCUUC